rnacentral:rRNA from 1 species
ACUCCUACGGGAGGCAGCAGUGGGGAAUAUUGCACAAUGGGGGAACCCUGAUGCAGCCAUGCCGCGUGUGUGAAGAAGGCCUUCGGGUUGUAAAGCACUUUCAGUAGGGAGGAAGGUAGUGUAGUUAACACCUGCACUAUUUGACUGUUACCUACAGAAGAAGCACCGGCUAACUCCGUGCCAGCAGCCGCGGUAAUACGGAGGGUGCAAGCGUUAACUCGGAAUCACUGGGCGUAAAGAGCGUGUAGGCGGGUUUAUUAAGUCAGAAGUGAAAUCCUAUGGCCUGCAACCAUAGAACUGCUUUUGAAACUGGUAACCUAGAGUAUGGGAGAGGGUAGAUGGAAUUUCUGGUGUA